rnacentral:rRNA from 1 species
CAGUCGCCACGGUAAUACGUAUGUCACGAGCGUUAUCCGGAUUUAUUGGGCGUAAAGCGCGUCAAGGUGGUUAUAUAAGUCUGAUGUGAAAAUGCAGGGCUCAACUCUGUAUUGCGUUGGAAACUGUAUAACUAGAGUACUGGAGAGGUAAGCGGAACUACAAGUGUAGAGGUGAAAUUCGUAGAUAUUUGUAGGAAUGCCGAUGGGGAAGCCAGCUUACUGGACAGAUACUGACGCUGAAGCGCGAAAGCGUGGGUAGCAAACAGGUUUAGAUACCCCCGUAGUCCCUGUCUCUUAUACA